GUUUUGAAGAUUAAAGCCCCUUCUUGGGUACUUAGCAGUCACUUGAUGGAGGAGCAGCUUUUUGCUCCCAGCCACUGCGGCCUGAACUUGGCCAUUAUGUGCAGCUCGUUGCGGAGGCUAUCAAUCUGUGGGGCCAGCAUGCAGCCUGAUGGACUUCUCUCAUCAUCAUCAAUUUUCCCUGCCAUGCUGGUGCAUCCUUUUGGAUGGGGCAGCGUGUGCCACUAGUGGUCUCUGUGCUCCCACCCUGGACACCCACCUCAUCCUCACAGAAGCCUUUUGUCCUGGGAUGCUCACAAACAUCAGUCAUCAAGAAGUAAACAUGCAUAUGUACAAGCCUGGAAAGAGAAAGCAGUCUGCACCUAAAACCUCUCCUGCACUGAGCCAGGAGCUCCUGGCACCUGCU